GUCCACGCCCUAAACGAUGUCAACUAGGUGUUGGGAGCGCAAGUUCUUGGUACCGCAGCUAACGCGUGAAGUUGACCGCCUUGGGAGUACGGUCGCAAGAUUAAAACUCAAAGGAAUUGACGGGGACCCGCACAAGCGGUGGAUGAUGUGGAUUAAUUCGAUGCAACGCGAACAACCUUACCUACCCUUGACAUGUCCGGAAGGCUGCUGAAAGGCGGUUGUGCCCGCAAGGGAACCGGAACACAGGUGCUGCAUGGCUGUCGU
rnacentral:rRNA from 1 species